UCCCUGGUGGCCUAGCUGUUAAGGACUCUGCAUUGUCACUGCUGUGGCUUGGGUUCAAUACCUGGCCUGGGAA
rnacentral:tRNA from 1 species